UGGGGAAUAUUGGACAAUGGGCGAAAGCCUGAUCCAGCCAUGCCGCGUGUGUGAAGAAGGUCUUCGGAUUGUAAAGCACUUUAAGUUGGGAGGAAGGGCAUUAACCUAAUACGUUAGUGUUUUGACGUUACCGACAGAAUAAGCACCGGCUAACUCUGUGCCAGCAGCCGCGGUAAUACAGAGGGAGCACGCGUUAAUCGGAAUUACUGGGCGUAAAGCGCGCGUAGGUGGUUUGUUAAGUUGGAUGUGAAAUCCCCGGGCUCAACCUGGGAACUGCAUUCAAAACUGACUGACUAGAGUAUGGUAGAGGGUGGUGGAAUUUCCUGUGUAGCGGUGAAAUGCGUAGAUAUAGGAAGGAACACCAGUGGCGAAGGCGACCACCUGGACUAAUACUGACACUGAGGUGCGAAAGCGUGGGGAGCAAACA
rnacentral:rRNA from 1 species